rnacentral:rRNA from 1 species
AUUGAACGCUGGCGGCAGGCCUAACACAUGCAAGUCGAGCGGAUGAAGGGAGCUUGCUCCUGGAUUCAGCGGCGGACGGGUGAGUAAUGCCUAGGAAUCUGCCUUGUAGUUGGGGAUAACGUCCGGAAACGGGCGCUAAUACCGCAUACGUCCUGAUGGAGAAAGUGGUGGAUCUUCGGACCUCACGCUAUCAGAUGAGCCUAGUUCGGAUUAGCUAGUUGGUGGGGUAAAGGCCUACCAAGGCGACGAUCCGUAACUGGUCUGAGAGGAUGAUCAGUCAAACUGGAACUGAGAAACGGUCCAGACUCCAACGGGAGGCAGCAGUGGGGAAUAUUGGCAAAUGGGCGAAAGUCUGAUCCAGCCAUGCCGCGGGUGUGAAGAAGGUCUUCGGAUUGUAAAGCACUUUAAGUUGGGAGGAAGGGCAGUAAGUUAAGAACUCGCUGUUUUGACGUUACCAACAGAAUAAGCACCGGCUAACUUCGU